rnacentral:rRNA from 1 species
AUUGAACGCUAGCGGGAUGCUUUACACAUGCAAGUCGAACGAGUGGCGGACGGGUGAGUAAUAUAUCGGAACGUGCCCAGUAGCGGGGGAUAACUACUCGAAAGAGUGGCUAAUACCGCAUACUAUUGUAGCGGCGGAUAUCGGAUUAGCUAGUUGGGGGGGUAAAGGCUCACCAAGGCAACGAUCCGUAGCUGGUGUGAGAGGACGACCAGGCCCCCUGGGACUGAGACACGGCCCAGACUCCUACGGGAGGCAGCAGUGGGGAAUUUUGGACAAUUGGGGAAGCCCUGAUCCAGCCAUCCCGCGUGUAUGAGAAGGCCUUCGUGUUUUAAAGUACUUUUGGCAGAGAAGCGGUAUCUGCAGAAUAAGCACCUGCUAACUACGUGCCAGCAGCCGCGGUAUUUC